AGCGAACGCUGGCGGCAGGCCUAACACAUGCAAGUCGAACGAAGUCUUCGGACUUAGUGGCGGACGGGUGAGUAACACGUGGGAACGUACCUUUUGGUUCGGAACAACUCAGGGAAACUUGAGCUAAUACCGGAUGAGCCCUUAGGGGGAAAGAUUUAUCGCCGAAAGAGCGGCCCGCGUUAGAUUAGCUAGUUGGUGAGGUAAAGGCUCACCAAGGCUACGAUCUAUAGCUGGUCUGAGAGGAUGAUCAGCCACACUGGGACUGAGACACGGCCCAGACUCCUACGGGAGGCAGCAGUGGGGAAUCUUGCGCAAUGGGCGAAAGCCUGACGCAGCCAUGCCGCGUGAAUGAUGAAGGUCUUAGGAUUGUAAAAUACUUUUACCAGGGACGAUAAUGACGGUACCUGGAGAAAAAGCCCCGGCUAACUUCGUGCCAGCCGCCGCCGUAAAAC
rnacentral:rRNA from 1 species